GCCUGCAGGCGGGGCCCGUUAGACUGGGGUCUCCCCACCCGGUGGGCAGCCUCCUGCGUCCACCCUCGCGGGCGCCCUGCGGCGACCCCGUCUGGGCACCUGCGCGAGGCCCCCGGCGGCUUGCGGGACUCGGCCGGCUCCCCGCCGCAUCUGGAAGGGUCGAAAAGAAACGAGAGCUGGGGGGUCAUCCUUGUGGCUUUUCCGGAGCGGAAAAGCGCCUCGCCCUGAAAAUACAAACCCAGAGCCCAGGCAGCGGGUCGUCGUCGUGGGGGCAGCACCCCUCGGGGCUCCGGUCGUGUCCUGAGGCACUCGGGACUGUCCGGACCCCCUGGGCCCUUGUUUCAAGAGUUGGCAGUGAUCCAACUGCCCUAAAUGAUCCCUAAAUGUUUAGGGAUAUUUAGGCAGUGUCCCUAAAUACUUAGGGACAAUACUUGUGAUUUCCGGGUCUCAGCACCUGCUCUUGGAUCUUCUCAAGGCCUGCUAGAUUUCAGAAUCUCAAAGGUUUGGCCACCGCACUCCCAACCCCUAAGGAAAGGAUGGGAGAUGAAUUAUUAAAGGACACCGGGCCAUUAGCAUAUCGGGCCUCACCUCUCUGGGGCCCUUGCCCUUGAGCAACUGAAUGUUUUAUUGAAGAGGAAAAAACAUGCACGAAAAAGUUUUCUGUUACGGUCUUACAUUACAUUUGGAAUCAGUAAAGAAAAAAAAACCCAACUGCUAUUGUUUGCACGAACGGUACUGAUGAAACCUGCACCACAAAGAGUCAAGGUAUGAGACGAUGGGAAGGACAUGUAAGCUCUCUGCAUACACUUCAGAUUCAUAUUCUGGAAUUACAGAAAUCUCUAUUUUUAAAAUUCUGUACCCAAAAUGCACUGAAGACAUUCUGGGUUGGACAAACCGUGGCAUUUCCUCUCCCCAGACCAAAACAUGAUUUUCAAUUCUGGGGGCAGCCUGUAGGCCACAAAAUUGUGGAUUGUUGUAUAAAAUCAACACCUUACCUACUAUCUUGGAGUGUAAAAACGAGGCAUUCCAUGAUGACACUUAAUUGAAGGAGGUAUAUAUAAUUAAGGAGACACUGGAAACUCAAAUGAGGGAGAAUUAUCAUUUCUGGAAAUUCUUAGAAUUGUUAAGAGUGAUAGGACAGAAAUGUUUUUCAGCUCAAUGUUGACAUUAUUUCUGCAAACAGAUAAUCUAUUUCUUACUCUUUGCAACCAUCUGUACACAACGAUAUAUGUCAGUUGUAUCUCAGUAAAGCUGAAAAAACUUCCACAUUUAUUUCUAGGCUUGGAAGUCACAUUUUCUCGUGAAAAAAUUUAAAAGAUGUGGAACGGUAUAUGGCUAGUGUUUGGUUUCUUAGUGUCAUAUACUAGAUUAGAUUCAAGACUUGGGGUUUUACUGGAACUUUCAAUCAGUCAAGUUUCUAUACCUGGCGUUCAUCAAACCACUCUUAAUAUAAUUGAGUACUUUCACAUUGAUUAUUUUUAUUUGACGCAAUGCAUCACAUAAUUUAUCUGAGAGGUCCCGAGCCCUGUUCCUUAUUUUUCUGGACAAGCUCCAUGAGACAGGGAUAGAGUUCUCUUGCUAUAGCUCCAGUGCUGAGACAGUUCUGUGUCUGUAAGGUGUAUAAUAAAAACCUAUAUAUACUGAAUGAAAUAAAUGGGGGUUGCUGUCUCGUGCAUCUAACAUGUCUCUGGCAAUUCUCCGCCACCAUGGCUUUACCAAAUGCUGGGGAAGCUCUGAGAGAUUUUGUUGUGAGAAUUUUAAGAUACUGGGAGCAAAGUGGGGUUUGCCUCUAAAAGGAAUCAGCUACAACUGUGUGCACACAAACCGUUCCUGGAUCGGGCACUGCAAGCUGUGUUACGAAGCAGAGCUGCUGUCUGUCCCUUAGCCUUGAGAUCGUUUUAGUGACUUGGUUCAAAGGGAGAGUGUCGACAGUGAACUUCUUGAAGCCCUGACGGGAAUGGCACUCAAGAGUCCAGGCUUUGAGUGAAGCGGGGGAGUAAACGCUCAUGGUUUCUGCAGCUCCCCCUGGAGAUUCUGUCACACUGCUAAAGUGCAGGAGAGGAGAGCAUGGAGAACAUGCCUGUGCGUAGACCAGGUUUGGAGCUACGUGCUACAUCUCCUUUCAGACUGUGUGAAGGCCAGUGGGGAGGAGGUAGGUGUGUGAGGAUGUCUUUAAACACAGGCCAACUUCUGGAAAAUAAAUCGUAAUGUUGGAUGA